rnacentral:rRNA from 1 species
GACGAACGCUGGCGGCGUGCUUAACACAUGCAAGUCGAACGGAAAGGCCCUGCUUUUGUGGGGUGCUCGAGUGGCGAACGGGUGAGUAACACGUGAGUAACCUGCCCUUGACUUUGGGAUAACUUCAGGAAACUGGGGCUAAUACCGGAUAGGAGCUCCUGCUGCAUGGUGGGGGUUGGAAAGUUUCGGCGGUUGGGGAUGGACUCGCGGCUUAUCAGCUUGUUGGUGGGGUAGUGGCUUACCAAGGCUUUGACGGGUAGCCGGCCUGAGAGGGUGACCGGCCACAUUGGGACUGAGAUACGGCCCAGACUCCUACGGGAGGCAGCAGUGGGGAAUAUUGCACAAUGGGCGGAAGCCUGAUGCAGCAACGCCGCGUGCGGGAUGACGGCCUUCGGGUUGUAAACCGCUUUCGCCUGUGACGAAGCGUGAGUGACGGUAAGGGGUAAAGAAGCACCGGCUAACU